UACGGGGGGGGCAAGCGUUGUUCGGAAUUACUGGGCGUAAAGGGCGCGUAGGCGGUCUGCUAAGUUGGAUGUGAAAACUCUGGGCUUAACCCAGAGCCUGCAUUCAAUACUGACAGGCUAGAGUUCUGGAGGGGAUAACGGAAUUCCUGGUGUAGCGGUGAAAUGCGUAGAUAUCAGGAGGAACACCGGUGGCGAAGGCGGCUAUCUGGACAGAGUCUGACGCUGAGGCGCGAAAGCUAGGGGAGCAAACAGG
rnacentral:rRNA from 1 species